AAGAAAAUUUUCUUUUCGCAAAAUAAAAUAUAAAAAACCGAAUAUUAAAUCAGAAAAGCAUUCCCAUUUUCGCCAUUUUCGGUAUCUGUUAAAUCUCCAACAACUGUCCCCUUCAUCACCGUGAACGUCAUGGCAAAUUCCCUCAACCAGCUCUAGUUCAACAAAUUUUCGCAUUUGCGAAUCUUGAGACGAUUCUUUGCAUUAAUUCUUCGCAAUUGGCAACUGCGUUGUUCUGUACGAUUCGGUGAUAAUAAUUUUUUAUAAACGUAUUUAUGCAUGUAAUGUGUGAUUUCUUUGGCGUACGAAUGAUCUGAUUGUUAUUGGUGAAAAAACGGUGUAGUUUUGGUAUUGUUUUUGUAUCCGAGAUUGUUUGAUUUGGUGGUGAAGCGGAUCAAUGGAGGCGAUCGAGGAAUUGGAACAGCUCGGCGAUGCGAUGAGGCAAGCGGCUGCUCUGUUAGCUGACGAGGAUGUCGAUGACGCUGCGGCAUCGUCUAAACGGCCUUCAACAUUCCUCAAUGCAGUGGCGCUUGGCAACACCGUAAGUUUUCUGUGCAAUUACCUCGUGAUUUGUGAUUCUUUUGUAUGUUCUGUGAUAUGUGUUAUGUUAUUCUUCUGAUGACGGCGCUGCGGCAUCGUCUAAACGGCCUUCAACGUUCCUCAAUGCAGUGGCGCUUGGCAAUACUGUAAGCUUUCUGUGCAAUUACCACGUGAUUUGUGAUUCUUCUGUAUGUUCUGUGAUAUGUGUACUGUUAUUCUUUCCUAGAUACAAUGCAACAUAUUUUGGAAGUACUACAUACCUAAUUUUUCGAGAGAGGAUAUGUAUUUGUCAACUUGAUGUAC
rnacentral:lncRNA from 1 species